rfam:Alligator sinensis unplaced genomic scaffold scaffold282_2, whole genome shotgun sequence
GCCCGGCCAAGCCGCGGUGCGACAGGACCCGCUUGCCCAUAACUGGGGCCGCUCGGCUCAUCCCGGCGGCGCUUUUAAAUGCAAGCGACAAGG